rnacentral:tRNA from 1 species
GCCCGGCUGGCACAAUUGGUUAGCGCGUGGGCCUUUUACGCAUUAAUUUCAAACUUCUGUUUACAAUUAAUUGAAAGACAAGCCCAAGGUUGAGAGUUCGAGCCUCUCGUCGGGCG